rnacentral:pre_miRNA from 1 species
AGCCCCCUGUAUCCGUGCUGAGAUUUCGUCAGAGAUCAGCCCGUUGGAGCUGAUGGUUCUUCCCAAAUAAGUGAAGCG